rnacentral:rRNA from 1 species
AUUGAACGCUGGCGGCGUGCCUAACACAUGCAAGUCGAGCGGUAACAGGUGUAGCAAUACAUGCUGACGAGCGGCGAACGGGUGAGUAAUGCUUCGGAAUCUACCCAAUGGUGGGGAAUAACCAGCCGAAAGGUUGGCUAAUACCGCAUACGUCCCAACGGGAGAAAGCAGGGGAUCGCAAGACCUUGCGCCAAUGGAUGAGCCGAAGUCGGAUUAGCUAGUUGGAGGUAACGGCCUACCAAGGCGACGAUCCGUAGCCUGGUCUGAGAGGACGACCAGCCACACCUGGGACUGAGACACGGCCCAGACUCCUACGGGAGGCAGCAGUGGGAAUAUUGGACAAUAGGGGGAAACCCUGAUCCAGCGACGCCGCGUGU